rnacentral:rRNA from 1 species
GAUCCUGCUCAGGAUGAACGCUGGCGGCGUGCCUAAUACAUGCAAGUAGAACGCUGAAGGAGGAGCUUGCUCUUCUGGAUGAGUUGCGAACGGGUGAGUAACGCGUAGGUAACCUGCCUGGUAGCGGGGGAUAACUAUUGGAAACGAUAGCUAAUACCGCAUGACAACAGUUAUUGCAUGAUAACUGUUUAAAAGGGGCAACUGCUCUACUACCAGAUGGACCUGCGUUGUA